CAUCCAAUGUUUCUACUGUAUCAAUCACAGUCACAGACUCCAAUGACAAUACACCGUUAUUUAAUAGCAGCCAGUAUUAUGGAAGUAUAGCUGAAAAUUCAACUGCAGAGACACUUGUUACAAUAGUAUCAGCAACAGAUUCUGAUGGCAGUUCACCUAAUAACGAAGUCUUCUAUCUGAUAGAAACCGGAGGUUCUGAUAAUUUCAGAAUGGAGAGCACCACGGGGAAAAUUAAAGUUGGUCCGGGAGCCCAACUAGAUAAAGAAAACCU